UCAGAUACCAACAGUUCUCUUCAUUCAUGCUAGGAAUCGCACGGUUCUUAAUGUUGGGAACGCGUUUUUUGCAUGUUAGGAACGCGUUCCUAACACGUUUCUCACUUGGGAACGCAGAACCGCGAAUCUCAUGGAGAUACCAGAUAGCCUUUGACGUUCCUGGCUACUAAGGUACAGACUACAGAAGCAUAAAAGAGAGUUGACACUGGCAUUAUGCUACAUACAUCAAAAAAGCAUGGCUCCAAAAAUUAGUUCUCCUUUUUUGUUAGUUUUCUUUGCGUCGUGAUCGUUUUGUCCAGCUUUUCUGGGACAGCGUUCGCCCAAAAGUUUGCGAGAACUUGCCAGAAAAAUGAAGGAAUUGUUAAGCAAGCACACAGCGCUGAAACUUGCGACGACUGUAGAGUACGGUGUGGAAAGACAUGUCCCGAGAGUACAUUUCUGUUAGAACAACGGUUUUGCAAGAAAGAACCAUGUCCACAUCCAAAUCCCGUGCUGAAAAAUGGUGUUUGUCGAAGUCACAAUAAAAGCAGCGUUGUGUGCUUCUGCUGUUGUGUUGACAAAUUCAUAACGGAGUAAAUCAGUGCUACACUUGAUCAUCCCAUACUUUGUGUGUGUGUUCUUCUUUUUUCGGGAAACUUAAGAAAGUGCCCAUGUGGGGAAAGCUAUUUAAGAAAAUAACCACUUUUUUUUCAAUUUUAAUUAAAUGCCCAUGCCGUUUAUAAUUCCGUUAGGGUCCACAGUAUGGUCAAUUGUCAUUGAAGAAGUCAAAGAAAAAGUGGCGUUAUUACCUAAUUAGCCUUCUCAAUCCGUAACACUAUAAACUAAAAAAAAAAUGUUUAAUAACAAGACUGUACUCGUUUAUUUAGUUUUAAUGGCGGACUCAAAAUCCCCAAGUUAGUUUUAUCUCCAACGCAAACUGUUUCCCUCUUCUACUAGAUAUACGUAGUCAAAUGAAUUAGAUAGAUGAAUUAAUUGAAGGAGUGAUCAGGCAGAUGAGUCGAUUGAGGAGAAAUUGGAGGAAGAAAAUAGCUAAGAAAACAGGUACAAAAGAGGCUAUACAUUGAGGAGCAAACACCAGCAGUUGACACCUCUUCAUCACCAGAAACACGCCUCGACAAAAUUCCCUAACCAACUCUCUUUGCCUGGUUGCACGUUAUUCAUUUCUUAACCGUGGCAAUAACUCUUGAUAGUGUGAUUGUUCCUUUCUCAUAGAUUAGGGAUAAAUGAGAAAUGUCCCAAUGCUUUGUCGAUGCUUGGGAGCUUAGAGCUUCAAAAUGAUGAUUUAGUAGAGGCAAAGGACACAUUCCAGGCUGCCAAAAAAGCAAGUGAUGGAAAUGAUUCAUAUGCUAUUCUCUCCCUUGUCCAUAAAUUCUCAAGACGAUGUGUAUCUGGUGCUCUAUUCUAAGUAACUUGGUCAAUUGAAUUUCUUUGUGAAACACCGAAACUAUGGUUUGUAUUAUUGAUUUUUCAUUCUUCAAAUGAUUGUUAGUUAUCUAUGUUGACAGUGGGAUUUCAUUCUAUUAUUUGUUUCUUAACUAGAAUAAUUUAUUAGGUCUGUAUUAGAAAAAUUGGGGAAGAAGAUGAACAGUAGGAGUGAUUUGAAUUUUGA